UACGUAGGGUGCGAGCGUUAAUCGGAAUUACUGGGCGUAAAGCGUGCGCAGGCGGUUGGUUAAGUCUGAUGUGAAAGCCCCGGGCUCAACCUGGGAAUGGCAUUGGAAACUGGCUGGCUAGAGUGUGGCAGAGGGGGUGGAAUUCCGCGUGUAGCAGUGAAAUGCGUAGAGAUGCGGAGGAACACCGAUGGCGAAGGCAGCCCCCUGGGCUGACACUGACGCUCAGGCACGAAAGCGUGGGGAGCAAACAGG
rnacentral:rRNA from 1 species